rnacentral:rRNA from 1 species
UACGUAGGGGGCUAGCGUUGUCCGGAAUCAUUGGGCGUAAAGAGCGCGUAGGCGGCCAGAUAAGUCCGGUGUGAAAGUCACAGGCUCAACCUGUGAAUGCCGCUGGAAACUGUCUGGCUAGAGUCCGGAAGGGGCGAGUGGAAUUCCUGGUGUAGCGGUGAAAUGCGCAGAUAUCAGGAGGAACACCAAUGGCGAAGGCAGCUCGCUGGGACGCUACUGACGCUGAGGCGCGAAAGCGUGGGGAGCAAACAGG